rnacentral:misc_RNA from 1 species
UUAAAACACAUAAAAUAAAUUAAAUUGUGAAUAUAUGAAUAGAAAAUGGGAAAAGAAAGAAAGAAAAUCAAAUAUAAAUAUAUGAGUUAUUAGUAAGCAUGAUGCAAAUAUUACAUCAUUAAUAUUUUAUGCAAUUUACCAUAGGAUAUAUAUAAGUAUAAGAUGACAAAAAUUCAACCACUCAAAGUCAUCUUCUUCCUUCUAAACCUCCCAUGGCCAAAAUUCUCUCCAAACCACUCCCACCAUUUUCAAGCUUUUGAGCUUGAUUUCCUCCCCUUUCUCACCAUAUUUUCCAUAAAUCCCUUGAAUAAAAAUUGUCUCCACCCCAUAAGGAAGCUCUAGGCAGCCACAAGGAGUAGAAAUUUUAGAGUUUUCACAAGUUGAAGAAGUGUCCAUAUAAGGUUAGUGCAUAAUUUCUCUUUCUUUCUUCAUUAAACCUUGAAUUGAGGUUGAGAUGAGUUAAUAUUGCAUGAAAAAUUAAGAAAACAAUGGGUUUGUUAAGGACCAAAAAUUCGACAGCUUUGGGAUCUUUAAGGGUUUGAUGAUUUUAAUUCACCUAACCUUGAUUUGAUGAAUGGAAAUGCAUUGAAAGUUAUAUUGCAUGAUGUAUUUGAGAUUGACAAUUUGAGUAAGGGUUUUGACCUAACUAUUGGAGACUUUGUGUAAUUAUUAGAAUUUGACUUUAUUGAGAUGAAUUAAUGUUAUUUAGAAGUGCCAUGAAUGUCAAUUUGUAGUUUGGGAGUUGGAGGAAAUAAAAAUUGGAAGUGUAUAUUUUUCAUGCAGGUUGAGACUUUGAAAAUCCAGUGUAUAUUUUGAGCCAUAACUGAAAUUUUGUUGCUCCA